rnacentral:rRNA from 1 species
GAUAAACGCUGGCGGCGUGCCUAACACAUGCAAGUCGAACGUCCUCUCUCGCAAGAGAGAGGGAGUGGCGGACGGGUGAGUAACACAUGGGUCACCUACCCUAAGUGAGGAAUACCGGCGAGAAAUCGCCGACAAGACCGCAUAGGCUCUCUCUUUGUCAAGAGAGAGCAAAGCUUCGCAAGAGGCGCUUGAGGAUGGGCCUGUGGCCGAUUAGCUGGUU